AUAGGGGUGGGUGUUGAGGGAGUCUGGGCAGUCCAGUGGGAACCCCUUUAUCGGUUCGAACUCUGGGUAGCGAUCGAGGGAUGGUAUCGGAUAUCGACACGAGGAAUGACCGACCGUCCGGCUGCCGGGGAUUUUCGCCGGAAAACUUUUCCGGCGACUUUUCCGGCGAUCGGUUUUGUUGCCUUUUUCCUCGGAAGCCUUUCAGCAGUUCUCGGACAAAAAACUGCUGAAUCGUCGAGGAGAAAUGGGCUUGCCUUGCGUGGGCUGCCAUUAGUUCUUCGAGGCGUUAGGGGUGGCGGCGGUAUAAAGUGUCGGAGUUUUUUUCAUGCAGUUCUCGGACAAAAAUUGCUGAGUGGCCGAGAAGAAUGGGCGUGCAUCAUGCGUGGGCUGACAUGGAUUCUUCGAGGCCUAGGGGUGGCGGUGUGUAUAUAACUUGUUCGCAUGGAUAUUACCGAGAUGUCCCCACGGGCAUCUUUUCACCUCGUCGCCGAAGAGAAUGGGCGUGUCAUGCAUGGGCUGACAUGGACUUCUCCUAGGCCGUUUGGGUGUGGCGGUAUAGUCGCCCUUGCGCACGAAAUAACCGAGAUGUCCCCAUGGGUGCAUCGAUUCCACCCGCCUAGUGUUGGAUGGGCGUGCUUCGUUGGAAAGCAUGGAUCCGCCUAGGCUGUCCCGAGUGUGAGCGAGGUGUGAGUGUCGCCCAUGGGCAAAAAUCGACACCUUGGUGGCUAGGAACUGGAACGAGACGGGUGGCAAAGAUUUCGAGUAGCACUUCAUACUACCGUGGGUUUUUUAAACCUUCCCUAGUUUUGUCGACAUGUUAUUCCGAGAAUUAAGCAAACCGUAACGAAGAUGUUCUUUGGCAACCAUCUUUUUUGAUGGGAGUCCGGCUGUUCGAUACAGCCGGCCAAGGGUGAUGAACGAAAUGUGAACUCCUUGUCUCGCUCUAGGGUUGGAUGGGCGUGCUUCGUUGGAAAGCAUGGAUCCUUCCUAGGCUGUCCCGAGUGUGAGCGAGGUGUGAGUGUCGCCCAUAUGGGCAUCGACACCUUGCGGCUAGGAACUGGAACGAGACGGUAGCAAAGAUUUCCUGAGUAGCACUUCAUACUACCGUGGGUUUUUUAAAACCUUCCCUAAGGUUUUGUUGAUGUUAUUCCGAGAAUUAAAGCAAACCGUAACGAAGAUGUUCUUGGCAACCAUCUUUUUUGGAUGGGAGUCCGGCUGUCUUCGCCGAAAGCCGGCCAAGGGUGAUGAACGAAAUGUGGAACCCCUUUGUCUCGCCUAGGUUGGAUGGGCGUGCUUCGUUGGAAAGCAUGGAUCCGCCUUAGGCUGUCCCGAAGGUAUCUCGCGCUUGUAACGGGGCUUUUGGCUCCUCGGAUUCUCGUCCGUCUUCUUCUUCUUCGAUGCAGAAUGAGUACUUCGGUAGAUUAGUUGGAACGAUUGAUGAUUUUGAGUUAAUUGAAACGUUCGGCGUAAUGAGUGGUGAUCGGAUACGCUAGUGUCUCGUAGGCGCCUCCAUGCUCGCGCAUCGAACUACUCUACCACCUAAUCCUUCUCAGUUAAUCUCACGGGCGAUGUUACGCCUGAUGAUGAGUUCCGGGCCUGUGUUUCGUACCUAAUUUGAAGGAAUUGUUGAGUUCGGUUUACACCCUUUGCCCGCGGCUUCUCCUUCGUGGGGAAGUCGUGGGCAAUGUAAACAUCGGCGCUUGUUCACCUCUCGUCACACGCAUUUGUUGCCUUGCUCGCAUUGGUGAAUGAGUUGCAAGGGUUGAUAUCUCGGAUGCGGAAAAAGUUGUCGACGGUGACUCCGAAGUGAUUCAGUCCCGCCAAAGCUCAUCCGUCCUUCGGGCAAAAGAUGACGGUCAAGACCUCGUCCUUUCUCUCUUUCCAUUGCGUUUGAGAGGAUGUGGCGGGAAUUGCCGUGAUCGAUGAAUGC
rnacentral:misc_RNA from 1 species